AAGAGUUAGGGUCCUCGUGGCCCGACCUCCAACCCUUUGUUUAACUAUACCACGUUGCUUCGGCGGGCCCGUCCUCCCUCUUUGGGGGGGACCGCCGGAGGGUCUCAUCCCCCUCUGGUCCGUUGCCUGUCGAUAGCCCAACCACAAAACUCUUGAUACAAACCAUGUCGUCUGAGUCUAAAAUUUUAAUUAAAUUA
rnacentral:misc_RNA from 1 species